rnacentral:rRNA from 1 species
ACAUCCAGAGAAUUUAGCAGAGAUGCUUUAGUGCCUUCGGGAACUCUGAGACAGGUGCUGCAUGGCUGUCGUCAGCUCGUGUUGUGAAAUGUUGGGUUAAGUCCCGNAACGAGCGCAACCCUUAUCCUUGUUGCCAGCACGUAAUGGUGGGAACUCAAAGGAGACUGCCGGUGAUAAACCGGAGGAAGGUGGGGAUGACGUCAAGUCAUCAUGGCCCUUACGAGUAGGGCUACACACGUGCUACAAUGGCGCAUACAAAGAGAAGCGACCUCGCGAGAGCAAGCGGACCUCAUAAAGUGCGUCGUAGUCCGGAUUGGAGUCUGCAACUCGACUCCAUGAAGUCGGAAUCGCUAGUAAUCGUAAAUCAGAAUGUUACGGUGAAUACGUUCCCGGGCCUUGUACACACCGCCCGUCACACCAUGGGAGUGGGUUGCAAAAGAAGUAGAUAGCUUAACCUUCGGGAGGGCGUUUACCACUUUGUGAUUCAUGACUGGGGUGAAGUCGUAACAAGGUAGGCGUAGUGCU